CCUACGGGAGGCAGCAGUGAGGAAUAUUGGUCAAUGGGCUUACGCCUGAACCAGCGAAGUCGCGUGAGGGAAGACUGCCCUCUGGGUUGUAAACUUCUUUUGUCAGGGAGCAACGCCGGCUACGUGUAGCCGGACUGAGAGUACCUGAAGAAAAAGCAUCGGCAAACUCCGUGCCAGCAGCCGCGGUAAUACGGAGGAUGCGAGCGUUAUCCGGAUUUAUUGGGUUAAAAGGGUGCGUAGGCGGAAUGCCAAGUCAGCGGUAAAAGCGCGGGGCUCAACCUCGCUCCGCCGUUGAAACUGGCGUUCUUGAGUAGGCGAGAAGUAUGCGGAAUGCGUGGUGUAGCGGUGAAAUGCAUAGAUAUCACGCAGAACUCCGAUUGCGAAGGCAGCAUACCGGCGCCCAACUGACGCUGAAGCACGAAAGCGUGGGUAUCGAACAGGAUUAGAUACCCCUGUAGUC
rnacentral:rRNA from 1 species